rnacentral:lncRNA from 1 species
GCAGGUUUUUCAUCUUUCUCUCCAACAACUAGUUCUUCAGGUUUCUCUUCAAGUGCCAGUUCUUCAGGUGUUUCCUCCUUUGCCAGCUCUUCAGGUGUUUCCUCCUUUGCCAGCUCUUCAGGUGUUUCUUUAGCUGCCGGUUCUUCAGGUUUCUCUUCAACCUCCGGUUCUUGUGGUAUUUCCUCUACUUGUACUUCAGAUUUCUCCUCAAUUGUUGGUUCUUCAGGUUUCUCUCUAACCGCUGCUGCAUUAGGUUUCUCUUCAUUGGCUGGUUCUUCAGGUUUUUCUUCAACUACCGAUUCUUCAGGAUUUUCCUCAAUGUUUGGAAAGGGAGCGACAUCAUUAUUGGUAUUGCAUGGAAUUUCACUGCCAGUUUUGUCAUUCAAGUCCACAACUAGUAUAUUCUGCAAAAGAGUUUAAUGUUUCACUUAGUCUUUCAAUAAAGAAGCAGAUGCGAAUCAUUACAUAUACAUAACUAAUAACAUGGAUAAACUUUAUGACAGUAGUUGACCCUUACCUUUUCCACAAGAGUUACUUUUGCAGGUUUCUCCUCUUCAAGUGCUGGUUUCUCUUCAAAUGAUAGUUCAUUAGGUGUUUCUUCCCGUGUUGGUUCUUCAUGUGCUUCUUCAGUUACUGGUUUUUCAGGUUUCUCCUCAAUUGUUGGUUCUUCGCUUGUCUUCUCAACUGAUGGUUCCUCAUGCUUCUCUCCCGUUGUUGAUUUUUCGGGUUUCUCUUCAGUUGUCGAUGGUUCAGUUUUUUUCUCAACCGCUGGUUCUUUUGGCUUCUCCAAAACCAUUUCCGAUUUCUCUUCAGUUGGUGGUUCUUCAUGGUUUUUUUCAACUACUGGUUCUUCUCUUUUUUCCUCAACUGAUGCAUAGUCAGCAAUAUCGUUGUUGGUAUUGCUUGGAAUUGCAUUGUCUGUCUUGUCCUUUGAGCUUACAAUUGGCAUAUUCUGCUAGAAAAAUAUAAAGUUUCAUGUAGUCUUUCAACAGAGAAACCAAUGUAAAUUUGUUGCACAUAUAAAGCUAACAAAUAUGAUGGAUAGACUUUGCGAGAGUGUUUAAUACUCACCUUCUCCGGAAGAGCUUCCGUUUCAGGUUCCUCUUCAAUUUCUGCUUUUUCAUCUUUCUCUUCAACAACUAGUUCUUCAGGUGUCUCUUCAACCGUUGAUUCUUCAGGUUUCUCUUCAAGUGUUAGUUCUUGAGGUGUUUCCUCCUUUGCUAGCUCUUCAGGUGUUUCUGUAACUGCCGGUUCUUCAGGUUCCUCUUCAGCCACCGGCUGUUGACGUAUCUCCUCUACUUGUACUUCAGAUUUCUCCUCAAUUGUUGGUUCUUCAGGUUUCUCCUUAACCGCUGGUACAUCAGGUUUAUCCUCAUUGACUGGUUCUUCAACUGCUGAUUCUUCUAGAUUUUCCUCAAUGUCUGGAAAGCGAGCAACAUCAUUAUUGGUAUUGCAUGGAAUUUCAUUUCCAGUUUCGUUAUUCGAGUCUACAAUUAGCAUAUUCUGCAAAAAGAAUUUAAUGUUUCAUUUAGCCUUUCAAUAAAGAAGCAUAUGCGAAUAACAGUACAUGCAUAACUAACAAAAUGGAUAAACUUUGUGAUAGUGCUUGAUCCUUACCUUUGCCAAAAGAGUUACCUUUUCAGGUUUCUCCUCUUCAACGGUUGGUUCUUCAUGUUUCUUUUCAAAUGCUAGUUCCUUGGUUGUUUCUUCCGGUGUUGGUUCCAUAGGUGUUUCUUCAGUUACUUGUUUUUCGGGUUUCUCUUCAAUUAUUGGUUCUUCGAUUGUCUUCUCAACUGAUGGUUCUUCAAGAUUUUCUCCCACUGUUGGUUUUUGGGGUUUCUCUUCUAUUGUUGGUUGUUCAGGAAUUUUCUCAACUGGUGGUUCUGCUGGAUAUUCCAAAACCAUUGAUUCUUCAGAUUUCUCUUCAAUUGAUGGUUCUUCAUGGGUUUUUUCAACUACUGGUUCUUCAAUUUUUUCCUCAACAGAUGCAUAGUCAACAAUAUCAUUAUUGGUAUUGCUUGGAAUUGCAUCGUCUGUCAUGUCCUUUGAGUUUACUUUUGGCAUAUUCUGCAAUAGAGUUUCAUGUAAUCUUUCAACAGAUAAACAGAUGUAAAUUUGUUGCACAUAUAAAGCUAAUAUGGUGGAUAAACUUUGUGACAGUGUUUAAUCCUCACCUUCUCCUGAAGAUCUUCCGCUUCAAGUUCCUCCUCUACAAUUGCAGUUUUUUCCUCUUCCCCUUCAACAACUAGUUCUUCAGGUGCCUCUUCAGCCGUUGAUUCUUCAGGUUUCUCUUCAAGUGCUAGUUCUUCAGGUGUUUCCUCCUUUGCCAGCUCUUCAGGUGUUUCUUUAGAUGCCGAUUCUUCAGGUUUCUCUUCAGCCAUCGGUUCUUGAGGUAUUUCCUCUACUUGUACUUCAUAUUUCUCCUCAAUUGUUUGUUCUUCAGGUUUCUCUUCAGGUUUCUCCUUAACCACUGGUACAUCAGGUUUCUCUUGAUUAACUGGUUCUUUGGGUUUUUCUUCAACAGCCGAAUCUUCAGGAUUUUCCUCAAUGUCUUGAAAGCAAGCAAUAUCUUUAGUGGUAUUGCAUGGAAUUUCACUGCCAGUUUUGUUGUUCGAGUCUACAAUUAGCAUAUUCUGCAAAAGGAAUUUGAUGUUUCAUUUAGCCUUUUAAUAAAGAAGCAGAUGUGAAUAACAUUACAUGCAUAACUUACAAAAUGGAUAAAUUUUGUGACAGUCCUUGACCCUUACCUUUUCAGGUUUCUCCUCUUCAACAGCUGAUUCUUCAUGUUUCUCUUCAAAUGCUAGUUCUCUGGGUGUUUCUUCCCGUAGUGCUUCUUCAUGUGCUUCUUCAGUUACUGGUUUUUCAGGUUUCUCCUCAAUUGUUGGUUCUUUGAUUGUCUCCUCAACAGAUGGUUCUUCAAGCUUCUCUCCCGUUGUUGAUUUUUCUGGUUUCUCUUCAAUUGCUGGUUGUUCAGGAAUUUUCUCAACAGCUGGUUCUUCUGGCUUCUCUAAAACCAUUGAUUCUUCAGCUUUCUCUUCAAUUGAUGGUUCUUCAUGGUUUUUUUCAACUAUUGGUUCUUCAGUUUUUUCCUCAACGGAUGCAUAGUCAACAAUAUCAUUGUUGGUAUUGCUUGGAAUUGCAUCGUCUGUCAUGUCCUUUGAGUUUACUUUUGGCAUAUUCUACAAUAAAGUUUCAUGUAGUCUUUCAAUAGAUAAACAGAUGUAAAUUUGUUGCAACAUAUAAAGCUAAUAUGGUGGAUAAACUUUGUGACAGUGUUUAAUCCUCACCUUCUCCCGAAGAUCUUCCGCUUUAAGUUCCUCCUCUUCAAUUGCUGUUUUUUCAUCUUUCGUUUCAACAACUAGUUCUUCAGGUGCCUCUUCAGCCGUUGAUUCUUCAGGUUUUUCUUCAAGUGCCAGCUCUUCAGGUGUUUCCUCCUUUGCCAUCUCUUCAGGUGUUUCCUCCUUUGCCAGCUCUUCAGGUGUUUCUUUAGCUGCUGGUUCUUCAGGUUUCUCUUCAGCCGCCAGUUCUUGAGGUAUCUCCUUUUCUACUUCAGAUUUCUCCUCAACUGUUGGUUCUUCAGGUUUCUCUUCAUUAACUGGUUCUUUGGGUUUUUCUUCAACAGCCGAAUCUUCAGGAUUUUCCUCAAUGUCUGGAAAGUGAGCAACAUCUUUAUUGGUAUUGCAUGCAAUUUCACUGUCAGUUUUGUCGUUCAAGUCUACAAUUAGCAUAUUCUGCAAAAAGAAUUUGAUGUUUCAUUUAGCCUAUUAAUAAAGAAGCAGAUGUGAAUAACAUUACAUGCAUAACUUACAAAAUGGAUAAACUUUGUGAUGGUCCUUGACCCUUACCUUUCCAGGCUUCUCCUCUUCAACGGCCAGUUCUUGUUUCUCUUCAAAUGCUAGUUCCCUGGGUGUUUCUUCCUGUAUUGGUUCUUCAUGUGCUUCUUCAGGUACUGGUUUUUCAGGUUUCUCCUCAAUUGUUGGUUCUUCGAUUGUCUCCUCAACAGAUGGUUCUUCAAGGUUCUCUCCCGUUGUUGAGUCUUCUGGUUUCUCUUCAAUUGCUGGUUGUUCAGAAAUUUUCUCAACAGCUGGUUCUUCUGGCUUCUCCAAAACCAUUGAUUCUUCAGCUUUCUCUUCAAUUAAAGGUUCUUCAUGGUUUUUUUCAACUACUGUUUCUUCAGUUUUUUCCUCAACGGAUGCAUAGUCAACAACAUCAUUGUUGGUAUUGCUUGGAAUUGCAUCGUCUGUCAUGUCCUUUGAGCUUACUUUUGGCAUAUUCUGCAAUAAAGUUUCAUGUAGUCUUUCAAUAGAUAAACAGAUGUAAAUUUGUUGCACAUAUAAAGCCAAUAUGGUGGAUACACUUUGUGACAGUGUUUAAUCCUCACCUUCUCCUGAAGAUCUUCCGCUUCAAGUUCUUCCUCUUCAAUUGCUGUUUUUUCAUCUCUCUCUUCAACAACUUGUUCUUCAGGUGCCUCUUCAGCCGUUGAUUCUUCAGGUUUCUCUUCAAGCACUAGUUCUUCAGGUGUUUCCUCCUUUGCCAGCUCUUCAGGUGUUUCUUUAGCUGCCAGUUCUUCAGGUUUCUCUUCAGCUGCCGAUUCUUGAGGUAUUUCCUUUACCUGUACUUUAGAUUUCUCCUCAAAUGUUGGUUCUUCAGGUUUCUCCUUAACCGCAGGUACAUCAGGUUUCUCUUCAGCUGCUGGUUUUUGAGGUUUCUCCUCUACUUGUACCUCGGAUUUCUCCUCAACCAUCGGUUCUUCAGGUUUCUCCUCAACCUCUGGUACGUCAGGUUUCUCUUCAUUAACAAGUUCUUCACUUUUUUCUUCAAUAGUUGAUUCUUCAGGAUUUUCCUUAGUGUCUGGAGAGUAAGCAACAUCAUUAUUGGUAUUGCAUGGAAUUUCACUGCCAGUUGUGUCGUUCGACUCUACCAUUGGCAUAUUCUGCAGAAAGAAUUUAAUGUUUCACUUUGCCUUUCAAUAAAGAAGCCGAUGUAAAUCAGAGGACAUACAUAACUAAAAAAGAUGGAUUAACUUUGUGAUAGUGUUUGACUCUUACCUUUUCGAAAAGAGUUAUCUUUUCAGGUUUCUCCUCUUCAACUGUUGGUUCUUCAUGUUUCUCUUCAAAUGCUAGUUCCUCAGGUGUUUCUUCCUGUAUUGGUUCCUCAGGUGUUUCUUCUUCUGUUACUUGCUUUUCAGGUUUCUCCUCAAUUGUUGGUUCUUUGAUUGUCUCCCCAAUCGAUGGUUCUUCAAGCUUUCCCCCCCCUGUUGGUUUUUCAGGUUUCUCUUCAAUUUUCGGUUGUUCAGGUAUUUUCUCAACUGCCGGUUCUUCUGCCUUCUCCAACACCAUUGAUUCUUCAGAUUCCUCUUCAAUUGAUGAUUCUUCAUGGGUUUUUUUAACUACUGACUCUUCUGUGUUUUCCUCAACUGAUGCAUAAUCAGCAAUGUCGUUGUCGGUAUUGCUUGGAAUUGCAUUGUCUAUCUUGUCCUUUGAGUUUAAUUUUGGCAUAUUCUGCAAUAAAGUUUCAUGUAGUCUUUCAAUAGAUAAACAGAUGUAAAUUUGUUGCACUCAUAAAGCUAAUAUGAUGGAUAAAAUUUGUGACAGUGUUUAAUCCUCACCUUCUCCUGAAAAACUUCUGUUUCAAGUUCCUCCUCUUCAAUUGCUGCUUUUUCAUCUUUCUUCUCUACAACUAAUUCUUCAGGUUCCUCCUCAACGGUUGAUUCUUCAGGCUUUUCUUCAAGUACUAGUUCUUCAGGUGUUUCCUCCUUUGCUAGCUCUUCAGGUGUUCCUUUAGCUGCCGGUUCUUCUGGCUUCUCUUCAGCCUCCGGUUUUUGAGAUAUCUCCUCUACUUGAACUUUAGAUUUCUCAUUAAUUGUUGGUUCUUCAGGUUUCACCUCAACCGCUGGUACAUCAGAUUUCUCCUCAUUAACUGGUUCUUCAGGUUUUUCUUCAACAGCCAAUUCUUCAGGAAUUUCCUCAAUGUCUGGAAAGUGAACAACAUUAUUCUUCGUAUUGCAUGGAAUUUCACUGCCACUGUUGUCGUUCGAGUCUAUAAUUAGCAUAUUCUGCAUAAAGAAUUCAAUGUUUUACUUAGCCUUUCAAUAAAGAAGCAGGUGUGAAUCACAAUACAUGCAUAUCUAACAAAAUGGAUAAACUUUGUGAUAGUGCUUGGCCCUUACCUUUUCUAAAAGAGUUUCCUUUUCAGGUUUCUCCUCUUCGAUGGCUGGUUCUUCAUGUUUCUCUUCAAAUGGUAGUUCAUUUGGUGUUUCUUCUCGUGUUGGUUCUUCAGGUGCUUCCUCAGUUACUGGUUUUACAGGUUUCUCUUCAACUGUUAGUUCUUCGAGUGUCUCCUCCAUCGAUGGUUCCUCAAGUUUCUCUCUUGCUGCUGGUUUUUCAGAUUUAUCUUCAACUAUCGGUUGUUCAGGUUUAUUCUCAAUCGCUGGUUCUGCAGGCUUCUCCGAAACCGCUGAUUCUUCAGAUUUCUCUUCAAUUGGUGAUUCUUCGUGUUUUUUUUCAACUACGGGUUCUUCAGUUUUUUCCUCAACUGAUGCAUAAUCAGCACUAUCAUUGUUGGUAUUGCAUGGAGUUGCAUUUUCUGUCUUGUUCUUUGAGCCUACAAUUGGUGAAUUCUGCAAAAAAUUUAAAAUUUCAUUUAGUCUUUAAAUAGAUAAACAGAUGUAAAUUCAUUGCACAUAUAAAGCUAAUAUGAUAGAUAAACUUUGUGACAGUGUUUAAUCUUCACCUUCUCCUGAAGAGCUUCCAUUUCUAGUUCCUCCUCUUCACUUGCUGGUUUUUCAUCUUUCUCUUCAACAACUAGUUCUUCAGGUGUCUUUAUAGUCUUUGAUUCUUCAGGUGCUUCUUUAUCUGCCCGUUCUUCAGGUUUCUCUUCAGCCACCGGUUCUUGAGGUAUAUUCUCUUGUACUUCAGAUCUCUCCUCAAUUAUUGGUUCUGCAGGUUUCUCUUCAUUGUCUGGUUCUUUGGGUUUUUCUUCGACAGCCAAUUCUUCAAGAUGAUUUUCCUCAAUGUCUGGAAAGUGAGCAACAUCAUUAUUGGUAUUGCAUGGAAUUUCACUGUCAGUUUUGUCGUUCAAGUCUACAAUUAGC